GUUUAUAUGUUGGUAAUAAGUUAUCUUGCGAUGGUUGUUGGAGCAUCCUAUCAUCCAUCGUAAGUAUAGAGGGAGAGAAAUUUCCUGGGAUGAGAAUGAACAUGCUCAUCAGAGAGCUCUCUGGAUAGAGACUUUGAAUUGUGAUACCACAUAUAUUGAGCUAUUACGACUUAACCUAGUAACAUUUUAGAAGUUAUGUGGUACUUUACAAUCAAGAGGAUGGUUGGUAGACAAAUUCAAAAGACUGUACCAGUUAAAUCGAAA
rnacentral:misc_RNA from 1 species